ACAUGCAAGUCGAACGGUGAAGCCCAGCUUGCUGGGUGGAUCAGUGGCGAACGGGUGAGUAACACGUGAGUAACCUGCCCCUGACUCUGGGAUAAGCCUUGGAAACGAGGUCUAAUACCGGAUACGAGACGCUCGGGCAUCCGAAGUGUCUGGAAAGAUUUAUCGGUCAGGGAUGGACUCGCGGCCUAUCAGCUUGUUGGUGGGGUAGUGGCCCACCAAGGCGACGACGGGUAGCCGGCCUGAGAGGGCGACCGGCCACACUGGGACUGAGACACGGCCCAGACUCCUACGGGAGGCAGCAGUGGGGAAUAUUGCACAAUGGGCGCAAGCCUGAUGCAGCGACGCCGCGUGAGGGAUGAAGGCCUUCGGGUUGUAAACCUCUUUCAGCAGGGAAGAAGCGCAAGUGACGGUACCUGCAGAAGAAGCGCCGGCUAACUACGUGCCAGCAGCCGCGGUAAUACGUAGGGCGCAAGCGUUGUCCGGAAUUAUUGGGCGUAAAGAGCUCGUAGGCGGUUUGUCGCGUCUGCUGUGAAAACUCGAGGCUCAACCUCGGGCUUGCAGUGGGUACGGGCAGACUAGAGUGCGGUAGGGGAGACUGGAAUUCCUGGUGUAGCGGUGGAAUGCGCAGAUAUCAGGAGGAACACCGAUGGCGAAGGCAGGUCUCUGGGCCGCAACUGACGCUGAGGAGCGAAAGCAUGGGGA
rnacentral:rRNA from 1 species